rnacentral:rRNA from 1 species
UUUCGCAAUGCCCGAAAGGGUGACGAAGCGACGCCGCGUGGGUGAAGAAGGCCUUCGGGUUGUAAAGCCCUGUCAGGAGUUAUGAAAUGUAAGUGUGCUAAUAUCACAUUUAUUUGACAAAGGCUCCAAAGGAAGCCACGGCUAACUCUGUGCCAGCAGCCGCGGUAAUACAGAGGUGGCAAGCGUUGUUCGGAAUUAUUGGGCGUAAAGAGCACGUAGGUGGAUUUGUAAGUCAGACGUGAAAGCCUUCUGUUCAACGGAAGAAUUGCAUCUGAAACUGCAAACCUUGAGUAUAGGAGGGGAGAAUGGAACUUCUGGUGGAGCGGUGAAAUGCGUAGAUAUCAGAAGGAACGCCGGCGGCGAAAGCGAUUCUCUGGCCUAUUACUGACACUCAGUGUGCGAAAGCUAGGGGAGCAAACGGGAUUAGAUACCCCGGUAGUCCUAGCCGUAAACGAUGGGCACUAAGUAGAGGGGUUUU